rnacentral:ribozyme from 2 species
CCUGUAAUGUAGCCUAAAAGACAGUUACAAGCCUGUAAAUACAGAGUACAGG